AUUCUAUGAGAUAGGCACUAUCUCAGCAUUUCAAUGUACCAUUCCCAAGCAUCAUAUAAGGAUUCAAAAUAAAACUGUGUAAAGAAAGAAAUAUCGUUUCUCAACUU